rnacentral:rRNA from 1 species
UACGGGGGGAGCAAGCGUUGUUCGGAUUUACUGGGCGUAAAGGGCGCGUAGGCGGUAGCACAAGUCAGUUGUGAAAUCUCCGGGCUUAACUCGGAAAGGUCAACUGAUACUGUGCGACUAGAGUGCAGAAGGGGCAACUGGAAUUCUCGGUGUAGCGGUGAAAUGCGUAGAUAUCGAGAGGAACACCAGUGGCGAAGGCGAGUCUCUGGACAUUUCCUGACGCUGAGGCACGAAAGCCAGGGGAGCAAACGGG